CGCAUAAAUCUGAGAAGCGUGAGUUUGUCAUUAUUGUUUAUCUAGACAUAGGAUAGGUUGUGUGAAAAUAUUACUGAUGUUUAACGUUAAAAAUGGACCAAAAGAUUAAUGCUAAACAACGUUUGACAUGUUUGAACGAACGUAAAUAGAUUAUUUACUAGGUUUUUUUAGCUUUUCGGCGUGAUUUUACAACCCCCCACCACGUUUUGUGGGAGCAUAAUGAACGCUAACUACUUGGUGUUAUUUGGACAUAAAUUAUGAACUUUGUCAAAAGAAACCACAUUUGUUCCGGACCUGGGAUUCCUGGCAGUGCCUUCUGAUGGAGAUAAUCAAAGGAAAACAUUUAAAAAAAUGUAACUCUUUACUCCAGCACUUUGGAUAUGAGUAAGACAUUUAUGUGUGUUAACCCUUGCAAGGCUGCCGGCCCAGAUGGCAUCCCUAGCCGUGUCCUCAGAGCACGUGCAGACCAGCUGGCUUGAGUGUUUAGGAAAUAUUCAAUCUCUCCCUAUCCCAGUCUGCUGUCCCCACUGUCUUCAAGAUGUCCACCAAGAAAGUAAAGAUCCACAGAUGAUGCAAUCGCCAUCACACUGCACACUGCCCUAUCC
rnacentral:lncRNA from 1 species